UACGGAGGGAGCUAGCGUUAUUCGGAAUUACUGGGCGUAAAGCGCACGUAGGCGGCUUUGUAAGUUAGAGGUGAAAGCCUGGAGCUCAACUCCAGAAUUGCCUUUAAGACUGCAUCGCUUGAAUCCAGGAGAGGUGAGUGGAAUUCCGAGUGUAGAGGUGAAAUUCGUAGAUAUUCGGAAGAACACCAGUGGCGAAGGCGGCUCACUGGCCCGUUACCGACGCUCAGGCGCGACAGCGUGGGGAGCAAACAGG
rnacentral:rRNA from 1 species